rnacentral:rRNA from 1 species
AGAAUCAACGCUGGCGGCGUGCCUAACACAUGCAAGUCGCACGAGAAAGUGGAGCAAUCCAUGAGUACAGUGGCGCACGGGUGAGUAACACGUGAAUCAUCUACCUCCGAGUGGGGAAUAACCUAGAGAAAUCUGGGCUAAUACCGCAUAAUACCCACGGGUCAAAGCAGCAAUGCGCUUGGAGAGGAGUUCGCGGCCGAUUAGUUAGUUGGCGGGGUAAUGGCCCACCAAGACGAUGAUCGGUAUCCGGCCUGAGAGGGCGCACGGACACACUGGAACUGAAACACGGUCCAGACUCCUAUGGGAGGCAGCAGUGGGGAAUUUUGCGCAAUGGGGGAAACCCUGACGCAGCAACGCCGCGUGGAGGAUGAAGCCCCUUGGGGCGUAAACUCCUUUCGACCGGGACGAUAAUGACGGUACCGGUGGAAGAGCACCGGCUAACUCUGCGCCAGCAGCCGC